AUUUCCACAGCAAGAUGUAUUUUCGUGGGCUGACACAAAGCUUGUAUUUUUGUAACUGGAGAUGCAACAAAUGCCAUCCACAGUAAAUGGACAUACUCAUGUUGUGGCCAGGCAUGCAAGUUUGGUCAGCUCUGCGUGAGGCCGAUGUAAUUUCCCAGGAUGUAUGUCAAGACGUGGCAGAACAUGCCCUGUUAAACAAACGAGAGAGUGUUGUGGUUGCUCUGAUGAACACAGGAGGAAAGCAGGAGAAGAAAUACAUGGGCAUAAUUUGCCUGUCAGUAAUGUGAGCUUUUGUUCUAUAAUCACAUGAUAAUGAUUUCUUUUUCUGUUUUUACCUGUUAGUGUCUCAGUUCCAUGCUGUUGUUUCUGGCUGCUAAAAACAUGCCUAGCAAUGUCUCAGCUCUUUAAAAUCUUAGUAGUCACCAAGUAAAAGUAAAAGAAAAAGUAAAAGAAAGAUACUGAAGAGUAGAAAGGCUGUUUCUGCUGAUGGUGUUUUCUCCGCAUUAGCACUUUGAGAAGUUCUGAAGUGUAUUUGUUCUAUUAAACCAGCAUUAGAAAAU
rnacentral:lncRNA from 1 species